AUUGAACGCUGGCGGCAGGCCUAACACAUGCAAGUCGAGCGGAUGAAGGGAGCUUGCUCCUGGAUUCAGCGGCGGACGGGUGAGUAAUGCCUAGGAAUCUGCCUGGUAGUGGGGGAUAACGUCCGGAAACGGGCGCUAAUACCGCAUACGUCCUGAGGGAGAAAGUGGGGGAUCUUCGGACCUCACGCUAUCAGAUGAGCCUAGGUCGGAUUAGCUAGUUGGUGGGGUAAAGGCCUACCAAGGCGACGAUCCGUAACUGGUCUGAGAGGGUGAUCAGUCACACUGGAACUGAGACACGGUCCAGACGACUACGGGAGGCAGCAGUGGGGAAUAUUGGACAAUGGGCGAAAGCCUGAUCCAGCCAGGCCGCGUGUGUGAAGAAGGUCUUCGGAGUGUAAAGAACUUUAAGUUGGGAGGAAGGGCAGUAAGUUAAUACCUAGCUGUUUUGACGGUACCAACAGAAUAAGCACCGGCUAACUUCGUG
rnacentral:rRNA from 1 species